rnacentral:rRNA from 1 species
UACGUAGGGUCCGAGCGUUGUCCGGAAUUAUUGGGCGUAAAGAGCUCGUAGGCGGUUUGUCGCGUCUGCUGUGAAAUCCCGAGGCUCAACCUCGGGCCUGCAGUGGGUACGGGCAGACUUGAGUGGUGUAGGGGAGACUGGAAUUCCUGGUGUAGCGGUGGAAUGCGCAGAUAUCAGGAGGAACACCAAUGGCGAAGGCAGCACUCUGGGACGUGACUGACGCUGAGACGCGAAAGCGUGGGGAGCAAACAGG